UACGGAGGGAGCUAGCGUUGUUCGGAAUUACUGGGCGUAAAGCGCGCGUAGGCGGCUUUGUAAGUUAGAGGUGAAAGCCCGGGGCUCAACCCCGGAACUGCCUUUAAGACUGCAUCGCUUGAAUCCAGGAGAGGUGAGUGGAAUUCCGAGUGUAGAGGUGAAAUUCGUAGAUAUUCGGAAGAACACCAGUGGCGAAGGCGGCUCACUGGACUGGUAAUUGACG
rnacentral:rRNA from 1 species